rnacentral:sRNA from 1 species
CGCAGCGAGAAAGCGUUGCCGCAGGCAACGACCCGAAGGGUGAGGAGCGGAGCGACGAAUAAUCCUUCCCCCACCACCA